GACGAACGCUGGCGGCGUGCUUAACACAUGCAAGUCGAACGGUGACGAGGAGCUUGCUCCUCUGAUCAGUGGCGAACGGGUGAGUAACACGUGAGCAACCUGCCCCAGACUCUGGGAUAACAGUUGGAAACAGCUGCUAAUACCGGAUACGAGACGGAGAGGCAUCUCUACCGUCUGGAAAGUUUUUCGGUCUGGGAUGGACUCGCGGCCUAUCAGCUAGUUGGUGAGGUAAUGGCUCACCAAGGCGACGACGGGUAGCCGGCCUGAGAGGGCGACCGGGCCAACGACUGGGACUGAGACACGGCCCAGACUCCUACGGGAGGCAGCAGUGGGGAAUAUUGCACAAUGGGCGAAAGCCUGAUGCAGCGACGCCGCGUGAGGGAUGACGGCCUCGGUUGUAACUCUUCUAGCAGGAGAAGACGAAGUGACGGUACCUGCAGAGAAGCACGGCAACUACGUGCCAGCAGCGCGG
rnacentral:rRNA from 1 species